rnacentral:rRNA from 1 species
CAGUAGCCGCGGUAAUACGUAGGGCGCAAGCGUUGUCCGGAAUUAUUGGGCGUAAAGAGCUCGUAGGCGGUCGGUCGCGUCUGGUGUGAAAUCCCGAGGCUCAACCUCGGGCUUGCAUCGGGUACGGGCAGACUAGAGUGCGGUAGGGGAGACUGGAAUUCCUGGUGUAGCGGUGGAAUGCGCAGAUAUCAGGAGGAACACCGAUGGCGAAGGCAGGUCUCUGGGCCGCAACUGACGCUGAGGAGCGAAAGCAUGGGGAGCGAACAGGAUUAGAUACCCCAGUAGUCCCUGUCUCUUAUAC